AUGGCCUGGAACUUGCUCUUCUUCAGCCUCCUGCUUCACUGUACAGGCUCUGUAGCCUCUUAUGUGCUGACUCAGCCAUCCUCAGAGUUGGUGGCACUGGGACAGACGGCCAGGAUCACCUGUGGAGGAAACAGCAUCGGAAGUAAAAGUGUGCAGUGGAACCAGCAGAAGCCAGGACAGGCCCCAGUGCUGGUCAUCUAUGAUGAUAGUAGCCAGCCCUCAGGCAUCCUGACAGAUUCUCUGGCUCCAACUCAGGAAACACAGCCACCCUGACCAUCAGCAGGGCCCAGGCUGAGGAUGAGGCCGAUUAUUACUGCCAGGUGCGGGACAGCAGCAGUGAUGUGCACAGUGACACAGACAGAUGA